GUCCAGGGUAGCCUAGUGGUCAUGGGCAUCUGCCCGGUAAGCGGAAGGUCGUGGGUUCGAUUCACAUCCCUUGACA
rnacentral:tRNA from 1 species